GGAGAAAAGCAGGGGAUCGCAAGACCUUGCGCUUUUGGAGCGGCCGAUGCCUGAUUAGCUUGUUGGUGAGGUAAAAGCUCACCAAGGCUCCGAUCAGUAGCUGGUCUGAGAGGACGACCAGCCACACUGGGACUGAGACACGGCCCAGACUCCUACGGGAGGCAGCAGUGGGGAAUUUUGGACAAUGGGGGCAACCCUGAUCCAGCCAUGCCGCGUGAGUGAAGAAGGCCUUCGGGUUGUAAAGCUCUUUCAGCCGGAACGAAACGGUCACGGUUAAUACCCGUGACUACUGACGGUACCGGAAGAAGAAGCACCGGCUAACUACGUGCCAGCAGCCGCGGUAAUACGUAGGGUGCAAGCGUUAAUCGGAAUUACUGGGCGUAAAGCGUGCGCAGGCGGUUUUGUAAGUCAGAUGUGAAAUCCCCGGGCUUAACCUGGGAACUGCGUUUGAAACUACAAAGCUAG
rnacentral:rRNA from 1 species